UCUACGGUGAGCAGCAGUGGGGAAUAUUGCACACUGGGGGAAACCCUGAUGCAGCAACGCCGCGUGAGUGAAGAAGUAUUUCGGUAUGUAAAGCUCUAUCAGCAGGGAAGAAGAUGACGGUACCUGAGUAAGAAUCCCCGGCUCACUACGUGCCAGCCGCCGCGGUAAUACGUAGGGGACAAGCGUUAUCCGGAUUUACUGGGUGUAAAGGGAGCGUAGACGGUGAGACAAGUCUGAAGUGAAAGCCCGGGGCUCAACCCCGGGACUGCUUUGGAAACUGCCUGACUGGAGUGCGGGAGAGGCAAGCGGAAUUCCGAGUGUAGCGGUGAAAUGCGUAGAUAUUAGGAAGAACACCAGUGGCGAAGGCGGCUUGCUGGACAGUAACUGACGUUGAGGCGCGAAAGCGUGGGGAGCAAACAGGAUUAGAUACCCUUGUAGUC
rnacentral:rRNA from 1 species